UAAACCUGGAUCAUCAGUUAUACUUAAACCUGGAUCAUCAGCUAUUUCUAAACCUGGAUCAUCAGCAGUAUAUACAACAGGGGUAGGAGAUCACUUCCAACAAAAUUUCAUAAAUAAAGCUUUUGUCAGGCCCUUAUCUCUUUCCGCUAGUGUGCAUACCACUUUUGAAUCCCCAGCCAACUUCCUGGUCACUAAGACCGCGAAUCGGCACUUUCCUGGUCACUCGCGAGUCGCCAACUUCCUGGUCACUAUGACCGCGAACCGGCACUUUCCUGGUCAACUCGGCCUAUGACUCAAGCCAACACUUCCUGCACUAUUGUGAACACUCGACAGGGAGGUAGGUGUGGCAAUAAAUUUGCACAUCAAUAAACUAUACAAUGUUGAUCUCAGCGAAACAAUUUAAUGUGAAUCUCCUAUGAUUUCUUUGGUUUUCGUAAUGAA